rnacentral:lncRNA from 1 species
UCAAAGCAAAGGUGUUAGUUAAUUCAAUUUAUUUUAUAAUAUUAAAAUGUUUAUAUGUGACUAUAUAUAAAUUUUAGACAUAUUUUUUAAAAUAAAUAUAUAUUUUUUUAUUGGAUCCAUGGUGCACUAAGUGCCACGAUGGAAUGGACACACAGGACUUUUUUCGAAAAUAACCCUGUGAAAUUUUGUAUUUGCCAAACUAACCCUGUGAAACUUUUAUUUAUGAAACUAACCCUCCCUCGCCACCUCAGCGGCCACAUCAGCAUUUCUCACAAAGACGGUGACUCGUUCACCGUCUUUAGGCAGUCGUCUUGAAGGCGGUGAAUGGUUCGCCGCCUUCUCGAGGCGUACCAUUCACCGCCUUCUCAGCAAGCAAAGGUGCCUCGAGAAGACGGUGACUCGUUUACCGCCUUAUGAAGGCGGUGAAUCGUUUACCGUCUUAUUGAGGCCUGAAUCAUCCACCGCCCUCUUAGCAAUUCCCCGCGUG